GAGCAUUGCUGGGACGUCCACAAGCAGCCGUGCAACAUGUGAUUAACUAAUUGUAUUCUUCACUGCACCAUUUUUGUUUGCAUUUUUUCAUUUUGAAAGUGUAGAUGCAAACAUGGAUGCAGGGUCGUACAGGUGAUAGAUGAUACCAGUCUUCUCAAGGGAUUCUUGGAGAUGGGUGUUGCACAUGAUCCAGAAUGACCUCUUCCAUGGAUGGCCUAUUGACUCCAAUUUCUGGAGAUGGGUCGAUAACUGAUGGUCCACCGUAAUACAAGCAUCAAGAGGUGCUAUAGUAAUUGGUGAAGAAUGAUAUGCACUUAAGUACAAGGACUGAUGAUGGUGUGUCAUGGCCGAAGAUUAUGAAAAGAAAAUCUCUUUUCUAGUUGUUGCAUGAUUUCUUGUUAGAGAUGAACAAC